rnacentral:rRNA from 2 species
UGCCCUAGUAACGGCGAGUGAAGCGGCAACAGCUCAAAUUUGAAAGCUGGCCUUCGGGUCCGCAUUGUAAUUUGUAGAGGAUGCUUUGGGUGAAACGCCAGUCUAAGUUCCUUGGAACAGGACGUCAUAGAGGGUGAGAAUCCCGUAUGUGACUGGAAAUGUUAACCUAUGUAAAGCUCCUUCGACGAGUCGAGUUGUUUGGGAAUGCAGCUCUAAAUGGGAGGUAAAUUUCUUCUAAAGCUAAAUAUUGGCGAGAGACCGAUAGCGCACAAGUAGAGUGAUCGAAAGAUGAAAAGCACUUUGGAAAGAGAGUUAAAAAGCACGUGAAAUUGUUGAAAGGGAAGCGCUUGCAAUCAGACUUGUUUAAACUGUUCGGCCGGUCUUCUGACCGGUUUACUCAGUUUGGACAGGCCAGCAUCAGUUUCGGCGGCCGGAUAAAGGCUCUGGGAAUGUGGCCUUCACUUCGGUGAAGGUGUUAUAGCCCAGGGUGUAAUACGGCCAGCCGGGACUGAGGUCCGCGCUUCGGCUAGGAUGCUGGCGUAAUGGUUGUAAGCGACCCGUCUUGAAACACGGACCAAGGAGUCUAACAUCUAUGCGAGUGUUCGGGUGUCAAACCCCUGCGCGUAAUGAAAGUGAACGGAGGUGGGAACCGCAAGGUGCACCAUCGACCGAUCCUGAUGUCUUCGGAUGGAUUUGAGUAAGAGCAUAGCUGUUGGGACCCGAAAGAUGGUGAACUAUGCCUGAAUAGGGUGAAGCCAGAGGAAACUCUGGUGGAGGCUCGCAGCGGUUCUGACGUGCAAAUCGAUCGUCAAAUUUGGGUAUAGGGGCGAAAGACUAAUC